rnacentral:rRNA from 1 species
UACGUAGGGCGCAAGCGUUGUCCGGAAUUAUUGGGCGUAAAGAGCUCGUAGGCGGCUCGGUAAGUCGGGUGUGAAACCCCGGGGCUCAAACCCGGAACUGCAUCCGAUACUGCGUGGCUAGAGGUAGGUAGGGGAGAUCGGAAUUCCUGGUGUAGCGGUGAAAUGCGCAGAUAUCAGGAGGAACACCGGUGGCGAAGGCGGAUCUCUGGGCCUUACCUGACGCUCAGGCACGAAAGCUAGGGGAGCGAACAGG